GUUUCAUGCGGGAGGAAGGCGUACGCGACAUGGACUUUUAGAUGCAAAGGACACCCGUUUCCAUGACUUCAGGAAAACUAUGGGCGCGCGUACGAAGGAACUUGCAUCUCACGGAAUCGGUCCUUAAAAUGCCACUACCAGGACCCGAAAUCCGCUUUGGAAUUCAACCUAUGGGGGUCAACAAAUUGGAACCCAUUAUCAAGACCAUUUGUGCUGAGAAAGGGUUUGUUGGGAACUUUUUAAACCACUAAGGGAAACGUACUUGCGCAACGACCUUGUUUCAGUACGGUAAGUUGUAUGAUUCAAGUGAUAAGAGUAUCAAAAUUAUCUGUGUACUGUAAUUUUUGUUGUAUGUGUGUUAUGUUUAAUUUGCUUUUAUUUGACUAUGUUUUGAGGAACGGCAGAUAAUGGAAAGAAAAGGCCACCGAAGUUCCGCCGUAAGAACGUACUAGAGGCAAUCUGAGCAGCAACUUGUUGAGGUGAGUCGUGCAUUAGAGCCACCUCGGAAAUCCCUUUGGCAGAAUAGAAAUGCCGGGAAGAAAAACGCAAUAACAAAGGAGCCGGAAGAUGCCAGAAAGAGAAACAGCGCGAUUGUUCUUGUCUGAAAACGCUGGAAAGGAAAAUGGGCAAAUUCCUAUGAGUGAGAAAAUUAUUCACCUGAAGAAUUGUUCAGUACCAACCCAGGAGCCGGAAAAUGACAAAGAAAUAAACAACGCGAUUCCAAUGUCCGAAAAGUCUCCGGAAAGAUAAAUGUGCUAGGUCCAAUAAAUGAAAAAAUUAUUCGCUUGGAUAACUGAUCAGUAUCAAUGUUAUUUUUGUAAAGAAAUGGCUUAUUGUUAAAGACUAUUUGUAGUUUUUAUUUCUGCACAAGAAAUGUUAAGACUUCAAACUAGCCAAAUUGAACUGCUAUGAUUAUUUACUAGUUUUGUUGAUAAAACUUUACCAUUGAUA